rnacentral:tRNA from 1 species
CGCGGGGUGUUAGCAGCUUGGUAGCUUGCAAGGCUCAUAACCUUGAGGUCACGGGUUCAAAUCCCGUCCCCGCAA